ACUCCUUCCGUUAACU
rnacentral:tRNA from 1 species